rnacentral:lncRNA from 1 species
UUAAGUGUUUACCAUAUCUUCUUCUACUUCCCGAGCCGGAACAAACUACUAAAGCUCAAAUUGAUUCAGUGGCAUAUAUGCAGCUUAAUUAGAUUAUAAAUCCAGAAAAUUAGUCUAGUGGUUAUAGGUUGAGAUUCUUUCUUGUCUUCUGUGAGUAGGGUUUUUUUUUAUGGUUUGUGGUUGGAUCGUGGUGUUGGUUGGAUUAUUUAGGAUUUCGAAGAUGGAUGCUUGCGGUGUUUGUUGUGGCCGAAGUGUUGUUGGUGCCUUGGUGGUCAAUGAAAGGAUCUGUUUCAGUCAUCUUUGCUGGGUUUUCUCCUCGAAAAUCAUUAUAUCUUUUCCAAUUUUAAAAUCUGAUUUUCAUGUGAUGUGAUUUCUUGGUCGGAUUUCGAUCUAGAGUGCUUUUGGUUGAUGCCUUGAUGGUUAUUUUCAGAUCUGAUCAUCUCUUUAUCUGAUCUAAAAUAGGUCUUGCCAAAUAGGUGGUUUCGAUUCUCGGAAGGGGCUAUUGAGAUCCGUGUGUUUGUUUUAGUCUGAUUUCUAUGUUGUAUUUAAUGUUUUUAUUUUGUGUUCAUGCUCAGAUUAAGAAUGAUUGUAUAUGUUAUCUCCCCUUUUGUUUAUUGUUUAUUGUUUUGGUUUGGGGUGUUCUCUCUGCCGGAAUUAUUGGUUCUUGUCGCAUUGUUUUGGGUUUAAUUCUGGUGGAUUGGUUUAUUCAUUUUUAUCUAUCCUAGAUUUUUUCGUUGCCCUACUUAUCUUUUUCUCAGUUCAAAAUGGUUUCAAUGAUGGUACUGUUUAUUAGUACUGAUUUAGGAUUUAAUUGUGUUGGUUCGGACUCCCUUGUUGAUGACUAUUUACUGGUGGGUUUCGCUGAAUUUUUGAGAGUUUAUGCCGGAGAUUGACCGACAUCUAUGGUAUCAGUUCCAUACAUGCUACUAAAGCUCAAGUUGAUUCAGUCCAAGAUCACAAACUCUAACCCAACUAAUUUGGGAUUUUUAUCUGAUAACCAACACGAGUAAAUAACCGAUAUAUAAUUAAUGCAAAUUUGAUAUAAAUGUAAAUUACCAAAAAUAUCUUUGAAUAAUAAACAUUACAGGCUUAGCCGAUCACUUUUGAUCGAUUAACAGAAG